UUUGAACAAAAACAUUUGUACACAAUGGCGUAAUAAGGUGUUAUUUUGGGCUACCUCAAAACUUCAUGGACUGAAGCAAAUCCCUGUCGACAAUUCUAAUUGCAGAACCAAUCCAGCUAGGGCAGAAAUUUUCCGCUGAGCUGGCAUGGAAGAAAAAAAAUGUUUUAACCAAAUGUCAGAUAACCCAAGACAAUACGAGCUGCCCCAUUUCUCCCCACGUUUCACCAAAACCAAUUUCCCACUAAAUGGUCCUGCCGAUUGGAGAGAAACACACCCAUCAAGAUUACGCCGUCAACUUGGUUUUCAUCUCCAGCAAAUUUCGCCCAAUUGAACCGUGAAUAAGUACAAGGUUUUCAGCUAUAUAACUAUUACUCUUGCAUAAACCCUAACUUCCUACCCAUUUUGCCAUCGUAGUCGUGACUAUCUCCGGUCGGCGUCGUUCAAUGGUUCCACUGAGAGGCCAACAUCUUCAGACAUUAUCUCCGACCCAUUUUGCGAGUAAAGUUUAUUAUUUGUUUCAGAUCCUCUGCACAUUUCUUGGGAAGGGAUGAGAGGGAGGAAUUAUGGUGUUUGUCACAGUUGUUGAAACAUAAAUUGCCAAGCAUGUUCGAACAUCUAGCUCAAAUGGCUGAAAAACGAAACGUCGAGAUUUCAUUGAACGUGACAUUCCACAAAGGAAAAGAGCCCUCAAACGAUAAUGGAGAAGAAAAGGGGCCAGCAUGAUUAUUAGUUAUAUUUAUUCUCGCACCCAGAAUAGUUUUGUGUUUGGGUUUGUAAUACCGAGAGACGACAAAAAAAAUCAAAGAACCCAACAAUUUUCAUUUUUGAAGAAUGCCAUGAAGGCACUCUUUUUUAUAUGUAUGGUAUCAUGAGUAAAAUGUUUGUGUUGCAUUA